UUGCGAGACUUGAUGAAAAUAGCCGGAUCCAUAUUUGAACAUUUAGCGGUUUUCCUGCGCUAUCCCUUACUAAAUAAAUGAAGCCUUUGUUUUAUGCUUCCAAAGAAUUAAAUUUACAUUGAACUAUGAACUCACUAGAAGUGGCAGACAAUGUCGGAGUUUAAAGAAAAUUUCGGUUCGGAAUGGAGCAUUGUGAGCGUGACAAGCAGACGGCUGUCAAAGUUUAACGUGUGACAGACGACAGACAGAAAACGAGGGUGAAGAUGUUUAAGUUCUUGCAACGUUAUUAAUUUUAUUUUACUGUGCUAGUCUUAUAUAAAAGUCGAAAAUUAAAUCAUUUUUGAACUCCGGAAAA